rnacentral:lncRNA from 1 species
AUGAUCAUGGGGGCUGUGCCUUCCACACCUCGCUCCUGCAGCAGGCACAAUGUGGCUGACACUAAACCAAAUAACCAUUGCUUGUGGAUGAGGCUACAAAAAGAGAAAGAAGCAGCAGUUUGGAAAGGGAGGGGAGCUGUUGUCAGGCAGAUUAAAGCACUUGCGCUCAUACACGCAGGGACUUUCUUGGCACAGCUGUGA